UCAAAAUUCUUGUUCACUAAUGGUGCCUCCUAUGUUUGGGAUCCAAGAAAAUGGUGCUCAUUUGGCUGUGGUGGGUCCUGGGAGGGAAGCUGCAUCUGCAAAGUACUCUGAUUGGAAUUUGGAAAUAUCUUGUCUUGAAAAGAAUUUGGAUAUGAGACUCGGUGUAGUCACCAAAGAAACUAAACCUGGUCUAACUGGUUGUUGAGAUCAUCUGCACUUUGGUCAGGAAAUUAUCUCCUAAUCCUAAUAGUGCUGCUAUAAUGG